CCCCAAAUUAUUGGUACGGACUGCGUAGGUCAUGUGAUAAGAAUCCUCCGUGUGGUUUUUUUCGUGUGUGUGUACGGAAGCAGGCGCAAUGGGUGUCCUUUGUGAGGCAGUGGGAAACCUCCUGGUCUUUGGUUGAAUCUGUGUUUGAAAUUCACUGUACGACUGAGGGACCUUACAGGAAAACGAUGAAGUCUUGGUAGCAGAAUUUGGUUGAAAGGGACAUUCCAAUGGUGAUAUUCCUGGUGUCUGCUUCAAGGUGGUCAAAGUAGCCAAUGUCUCACUACUGGCCCUUUACAAAGGGCAAGAAAGAAAGACCUCGAUCAUAGAAAAUGUGUACACUCAAAAAAGAAAAAUGGAAGCCAUUUCUAUUAUGAGGAUAUGAAUUCUGAAAUGUGUAAAAUGUCGUAGACAUGUAAAUGUUUUAUUUCUAUAGGGUUAAUAGUUAGCAUAAAACAUGUGGUAGACAACUAUAAAGGAGCUGUAUAGCCUCUCGCUCUUUUUUUUGUGUUGUCGCAAUGCAAAGUAUUCUAAUUGUUUGUACCUUUAAAUGUCCCUGCAUAAAUUGCAAUGCAUGAUAAUGCUAGUCUGGUACCCAGUCUUUUUAGCUAAUAUUCCACUCCAUGUCAUUGCCAAAGAGACUGCCUAAAGGCCAAUCUCAACUUUCUAUAUGCAGCUGGAUUUGAGACUGAUUGGUUGUUGGCAAUAACAUUAUUUUCCAUGAUAUGUGGAGCCUCAAAUAGAAUUAUAGGCAAAUUGUUGUAUUUUGUGGUUGGAAUUGCAGUAUGUACAUGUAUAUAUUCGUUUCAGUACCAAUCAAAUGUUUGGACACCUACUCGUUCCACUUUUUUUUCCUUUUUUUGUGCUAUUUUCUACAUUGUGAAGACAUCAAAACGAUGAAAUGACACACAUGGAAUCAUGUAGUAACCAAAAAAGUGUUAAACAAAUCUAUAUGUUUGAUUUGAGAUUCUUCAAAGUAGCCACCCUUUGCCUUGAUGGCUUUGCACACUCUUGGCAUUCUCUCAACCAGCUUCAUGAGGCAGUCACCUGGAAUGCAUUUCAAUUAACAGGUGUGCCUUUCUUUCCUUAAUCCAUUUGAGCCAAUCAGUUGUGUUGUGACAAGGUAGGGAUGGUAUACAGAAGAUAGCCAUAAGACAACAUCCAUAUUCUGGCAAGAACAGCACAAAUAAGCAAAGAGAAACAAAAGUCCAUCAUUACUUUAAGACAUGAAGGUCAGUCAAUCUGGAACACUUAAAGAACUUUGAAAGUUUAUUUAAGCGCAGUUGCAAAAACUGUUCAGAGGAGACUGAGAAUCGGGCCUUAAUUUGAUCAAGAAGGAGAGUGAUGGAGUGUUGCAUCAGAUGUCCUGUCCUCCACAAUCACCCAACCUCAACCCAAUUGGGAUGAGUUGGACCACAGAGUGAAGGAAAAACAGCCAACAAGUGCUCAGCAUAUGUGGAAACUCCUUCAAGACGGUUGGAAAAUAAUUCCAGGUGAAGCUGGUUGAGAUAAUGCCAAGAGUGUGCAAAGCUGUCAUCAAGGCAAAGGGUGGCUACUUUGAAGAAUCAAAAAAAUAAAAUAUAUUUGAACUUGUUUAGCACUUGGUUAUUACUACAUGAGUCCAUAUGUGGAAUGUAGAAAAUAGUACAAAAAUAAAGAAAAACCCUUGAAUGAGUAGGUGUGUCCAGACUUUGGACUGGUACUGUAUUAACACAUGUAUUUUUGGUCCCAUGUUUUAUGAACUGAAAUAAAAGAACACAGAAAUGUUA